rnacentral:rRNA from 1 species
CACGUAGGCGGGUUUGUAAGUAGGGGGUGAAAUCCCUGGGCUCAACCCAGGAACUGCCUUCUAGACUGCAAGCCUGGAGGUCAGGAGAGGCGAGUGGAAUUCCGAGUGUAGAGGUGAAAUUCGUAGAUAUUCGGAGGAACACCAGUGGCGAAGGCGACUCGCUGGACUGAUACUGACGCUGAGGUGCGAAAGCGUGGGGAGCAAACA